rnacentral:hammerhead_ribozyme from 1 species
GCACUACUGAAGAGUCCCAAACAGGACGAAACAGUUGUCCAGUGC